rnacentral:rRNA from 1 species
UACGGAAGGCAGCAGGGGGAAUAUUGCACAAUGGGCGAAAGCCUGAUGCAGCUAUGCCGCGUGUAUGAAGAAGGCCUUAGGGUUGUAAAGUACUUUCAUCGGGGAGGAAAAACAAAACUAAUAAUUUUAUUUCUUGACGUUACCCGAAAAAGAAGCACCGGCUAACUCCGUGCCAGCAGCCGCGGUAAUACGGAGGGUGCUAGCGUUAAUCAGAAUUACUGGGCGUAAAGAGCACGUAGGUGGUUUUUUUAAGUCAGAUGUGAAAUCCCUGGGCUUAACCUAGGAACUGCAUUUUGAAACUGAAAUACUAGAGUAUCGUAGAGGGAGGUAGAAUUCUAGGUGUAGCGGUGAAAUGCGUAGAUAUCUGGAGGAAUACCUGUGGCGAAAGCGGCCUCCUAAACGAAUACUGACACUGAGGGUGCGAAAGCGUGGGGAGCAAACAGGGAUUAGAUACCCGU